GGCACUUAAUUGCUGCCUCAGAAUUCUUAAAUUUUACUGACAGAUCUUUACCAGACUUUGUAGGCAAGAACUGUAACAGGAAGGUUCUUGCUAUAGCUUAUGGGCCUGUAUUCAACCUUCUUAUGUUUUAAUUACAGAAAAUGUAAAAGUUAAAAGGGAAGAUGAUAGAUAUCUUGUAAUAUGUAGUAAAUGUAAUUUAACUAAUUUUAUCACCAGAAAUAAUAGAGAAAAAGGAAAGAUGGUGCUCCAUCAGCCCUCUUUUGUCUUAUUACCAGUAAAUAUUUCAGAACCCUGGUAGGCUGAUGCCGGUUUUCAAGUCUUACAACAAAUAUACGCCCAGCUAGUGAGACCUAAGUGUGCUCUUGGACUCAUAAUAGUGGGAGUUGUGCUCUUGGUUUCUUUUAUUGCUUCCAUGGUCACAGCUUUGGUGGCCAUAUCUCAAAUAUUCAACAUGCAAAAUUUCUUAAUAAUUUGGCUCAGAAUACUUCCAAGGCUCUUCACAAUCAAAUCAAUGUUGAUGAAAGGAUUGAGACAAAGCUAAAUGCCUUAGAGACUGCUGUCAUGAAUAUAGAUAAUGAACUUUCCACUUUGAAAUUCAAGGAAAGACUUAAAUGUCAUACUAGCUAUAAGUAUGUGUGUGUUGCUGCUGCCAAAUGCAAUGCUUCUUAAUGGUAUUGGGAGAAGGUUCAAAACCAUUUGUUGGAUAUUUGGCAGAAUAAUGAUAACAGCUUGGAUCUUUUGGAGCUGCAUCAUCAGAUUCAAGAUACAAAAAGGUAAGAUUGAUUUUUCAGAUCGUACAUCUUUAGCUGAUCAAAUACUUAAAAAAUUAAACAGCUUUAACCGUGGAAACAUUCUUAAACACUCUGCAUGCUAUAUCCUUGUAUUGUUCUUAUUGCUACUUAUUCUCUCUUGUGUUGUAAUUGUAGGAUGUUGUGCCCCCAGAAGAAGAAUUCAGGGACUCAAAAUAAUGACCCAUCACCUGCUUUUACAAAGAAAGAAGAACAAAUAAUUAUUAAAGGAACAAAUACAUUUCUUAAUGUAAUAGGCUUAAUCUUGACUCUGUUGACACUUCUGCGAGUUCGGUGAAAAUGAGAACCAUUUUCAUGAUAAUUCAUAAUUUGUUAAAAAAUAUGCCCACAAAUUUAUAAGAUUUCUCUUUUUUGACUCAACAUUACAUUCAUGACUACAUGAAGAAGCCAUAAGUAUACAGAUGUUAGUUUGG
rnacentral:lncRNA from 1 species